rnacentral:tRNA from 1 species
CAGGGAGACAACAAAAUGUUUAAUAUUAUUAUUUUGUCACCUUAGGUCGAUCGGUAUCUCACGUUCUUAAUUUAUUGAGAAUUUCAUUUCCUAAGUUUUUCUAGGUCACACCCAUUAUUUUUCCUGGGCCAUUAGCUCAGGUGGUUAGAGCGCACCCCUGAUAAGGGUGAGGUCCCUGGUUCAAGUCCAGGAUGGCCCAUAUCUCUAUGUUGGGGGUAUAGCUCAGUUGGUAGAGCGCCUGCUUUGCAAGCAGGAUGUCAGCGGUUCGAGUCCGCUUACCUCCACUGAUUACCACCUCUUCCAUAACCGGUAGAAAGGAAAUGUUUUGAGUUGUGAUCAAAUUCUGAAAAGAAUCUAGCUUCCUAAUGAAAUCAUUAAGAUGCUGGACUCAUUGAAUUAAUUUCAUUGUUUUCAGAGAACCUUGACAACUGCAUAGAUUAUUUUUAAAGACAAUAAGCAUCUUUAAUGAUGCAGAUUUAUUAUUUGUGCGAAUGCAUUAAUAACAAUUCUAUUAAGCUGAUGCUUCAAUUUUUGAAGUUAUU